GACGAACGCUGGCGGCGUGCCUAAUACAUGCAAGUAGAACGCUGAAGGAGGAGCUUGCUCUUCUGGAUGAGUUGCGAACGGGUGAGUAACGCGUAGGUAACCUGCCUGGUAGCGGGGGAUAACUAUUGGAAACGAUAGCUAAUACCGCAUAAGAGUAGAUGUUGCAUGACAUUUACUUAAAAGGUGCAAUUGCAUCACUACCAGAUGGACCUGCGUUGUAUUAGCUAGUUGGUGGGGUAACGGCUUACCAAGGCGACGAUACAUAGCCGACCUGAGAGGGUGAUCGGCCACACUGGGACUGAGACACGGCCCAGACUCCUACGGGAGGCAGCAGUAGGGAAUCUUCGGCGAUGGACGGAAGUCUGACCGAGCAACGCCGCGUGAGUGAAGAAGGUUUUCGGAUCGUAAAGCUCUGUUGUAAGAGAAGAACGAGUGUGAGAGUGGAAAGUUCACACUGUGACGGUAUCUUACCAGAAAGGGACGGCUAACUACGUG
rnacentral:rRNA from 1 species